rnacentral:rRNA from 1 species
ACGAACGCUGGCGGCAGGCCUCAUACAUGCAAGUCGAGCGAUUAAGACUCCUUCGGGAGUGUAUAAAGCGGCGAACGGGUGAGUAACAGGUGGAUGAUCUACCUUCCGGUGGGGGAUAACGGCUGGAAACGGCCGCUAAUACCGCAUUCGGUUAAUACGCUGCGGCGUAUUAAGAAAGGCGCUUCAAAGCGCCGCCGGGAGAUGAGUCCGCCCCCCAUUAGCUAGUUGGUGAGAUAACAGCUCACCAAGGCAACGAUGGGUAGCCGAACUGAGAGGUUGAUCGGCCACACUGGAACUGAGACACGGUCCAGACACCUACGGGUGGCAGCAGUAGGGAAUAUUGGGCAAUGGGCGAAAGCCUGACCCAGCCAUGCCGCGUGAGUGAUGAAGGUCCUAGAGAUUGUAAAACUCUUUUCUGAGGAAAGAAUAAAUAGGGAAGGAAAUGUCCUUAUUUUGACGGUACCUCAGGAAUAAGGAACGGCUAACUCCGUG